rnacentral:rRNA from 1 species
UCCUGGCUCAGAUUGAACGCUGGCGGCAUGCUUUACACAUGCAAGUCGAACGGGGUUGGGAGCUUGCUUCCAAUCUAGUGGCGAACGGGUGAGUAAUACAUCGGAACGUACCGUGUAGUGGGGGAUAACGUAGCGAAAGUUACGCUAAUACCGCAUACGAUCCACGGAUGAAAGCAGGGGACCUUCGGGCCUUGUGCUAUACGAGCGGCCGAUGUCUGAUUAGCUAGUUGGUGAGGUAAAGGCUCACCAAGGCGACGAUCAGUAGCGGGUCUGAGAGGAUGAUCCGCCACACUGGGACUGAGACACGGCCCAGACUCCUACGGGAGGCAGCAGUGGGGAAUUUUGGACAAUGGGCGCAAGCCUGAUCCAGCCAUGCCGCGUGUCUGAAGAAGGCCUCGGUUGUAAGG